rnacentral:rRNA from 1 species
CACGUAGGGGCCGAGCGUUGUCCGGAUUUAUUGGGCGUAAAGAGCUCGUAGGCGGCUCGGUAAGUCGGGUGUGAAAACUCUAGGCUCAACCUAGAGACGCCACCUGAUACUGCCGUGGCUAGAGUCCGGUAGGGGAGCAUGGAAUUCCUGGUGUAGCGGUGAAAUGCGCAGAUAUCAGGAGGAACACCAGUGGCGAAGGCGGUGCUCUGGGCCGGAACUGACGCUGAGGAGCGAAAGCGUGGGGAGCGAACAGG